rnacentral:tRNA from 1 species
GUGGUGGUAGUGUAGUGGUUAAGGCGGUGGGCUAGCGUACAGUAGCCUGAAAAGCUGUGGGAUCAAUUCCCGCCUUCCACC